GGCCUAUUUAGGUUCAAGCUAUAUUGAUUCACUGGUUGUGGCCUAUUGCCAGUUCUGUUUCUUUGGAUAUAUGUUCAUAAAAGCCUCGUUCUCAGGCUAGGUGUUUAUAAAAGCCUCGUUCUCAGGCUAGGUGUUCAUAAAAGCCUCGUUCUCAGGCUACUUGCUACUAUAUUUCAGUGUGUCACCUUAAUCUGAAUUUAUAAUUCAAAUGUAUGCAGACGCAUUGCAGCCUUUAUCGAUCCAGGGCCUUGGUCUGAAAAGACAGGGGGAGACCUUGAACAUUUUCCUCUUCAGUCCAACGGACAUGACUGUGGGAUCUUCAUGUUAAUGUAUGCCCUCUGCAUCAGCACAUCAACCCCAUUUACCUUUUCCCAGUGGGAGAUGCCAACCAUUCGCCGUUGGUGGUGCCUCCAAAUAAUGGAGAGGUUUUCCAUUGAAGGGCAUGGACAUCGAUUUGCUCACUGGACAGAAGAAUCCUCCCAUCUUCUUGAAGGAAUCCUGGAACCGGUCUUCAGGGUUCCAAAAUCCACCAUUACAGAGACUCCCCCCAGAAAUGGUGAUGGUGGAGAGGGCAAUGCGAAGGGACAGACGCAGAUCCUGAGGGACUUGCAUAAAGCAUGGGAAUGGAUACAACAGCACAAAGCCUUAUUCCGUGGGGAAAUAGAAGAACCUGAAGUCUUACAGAUGAGCAAGCCCAGGCAGAAAAUGGCCCUUGAAGGAUACAGUUCUGCAAAGGAUCCCUUCUUAAUUUCCUUCCAGUAUCAGGAAGACAUGGAAAUGUUUUAUAUCAACUGUAUUGAUGUAAAGGGGCUGAAGGUCAAUACCAUGUUUUGCGAGCAUAGUUCUUAGAAUGUUUGUACAGUCAGUUCUUAAUAAGUUCAGUGGCGUAGGAAUAGGGGGGGCAAGUGCCCCCUCACUUUUGGGACAGAGGGGCCAAAAGGUAUGUUUUGC